AUUUUGGCUUUGAUAAAUAGAUUUUUAAAAAUUGAGUUACUAUCAUUACUUGAAUUUUUUCUCUCUAGCCAAAUCUUUCUUCUUAAUAUCUUUCAAAUAAUUGAUUAUUGCAUGCAAUGAUUUGAAUAAUAAAUUGUUCCAAAGAAUGUACUUUUGGCAUUGUUAAUAACAUAUCCUUGAUGUUAUCUUUUAAUCCAUAUCAAAAUUAAUUGAUAA
rnacentral:lncRNA from 1 species